rnacentral:rRNA from 1 species
CCUACGGGUGGCUGCAGUGGGGAAUAUUGCACAAUGGGCGCAAGCCUGAUGCAGCCAUGCCGCGUGUGUGAUGAAGGCCUUCGGGUUGUAAAGCACUUUCAGCGGGGAGGAAGGCGGUGAGGUUAAUAACCUCAUCGAUUGACGUUACCCGCAGAAGAAGCACCGGCUAACUCCGUGCCAGCAGCCGCGGUAAUACGGAGGGUGCAAGCGUUAAUCGGAAUUACUGGGCGUAAAGCGCACGCAGGCGGUCUGUCAAGUCGGAUGUGAAAUCCCCGGGCUCAACCUGGGAACUGCAUUCGAAACUGGCAGGCUAGAGUCUUGUAGAGGGGGGUAGAAUUCCAGGUGUAGCGGUGAAAUGCGUAGAGAUCUGGAGGAAUACCGGUGGCGAAGGCGGCCCCCUGGACAAAGACUGACGCUCAGGUGCGAAAGCGUGGGGAGCAAACAGGAGUAGAUACCCCAGUAGUC